rnacentral:rRNA from 3 species
UUGACCUCAAAUCAGGUAGA